rnacentral:lncRNA from 1 species
UCGUUUUAGGCUUGGUUAAUUAACUUUUUGCUAUAAGCAUGAAACACUUCUCCUAAUUUAUAUGUUUGUUAGAUUUGGCUUCAAUGUUUUUUAUUUGUUUGUGAAUUUGAUUCGGUGAUGUUUCAUUAAAUUUGAAGUAACUAUUAAGUUUGGUAUGUUGUGUUGUUAAGGUACGAAAUUUUUAGGGAAUUAUUUGCUGUGGUUAAACUUGUGGUUUUGACUAUGUUAUAGCUGAUAAGUAUGUGAUGUGCUUAGACUAUUAGAUUUCUUUUUCCAUGUGGAAGUAGGUUGGUUAAUUGACAUACUAAUGAGGGUUUAGGAUCCGAGUAAUCUUUUAUGAGGGGCCUAGUAAUCUUGGUUGUGUGCAGUAUAAGCUAAUUCUUAAUGCAUGUUUGCAGUUUUAUUGGUUUGUUUUUUUUAAUGUAAUUAUACUUCAUCUUGUUGCUGGAUAAGUUUGCACUUUGUACAUUGAAUGAGAGCUCGUUCCUUUUUUGUUAAGCUUGAUCUGUCAUUAUAUCUUAAAUCUUUGAAUUUUUUGCACUUGUUUGCUGCAUGCUAGUCAAAAUAGCAUGUUAAUUAAGACUUCCUUUCCUUCUAGCAACAAUGAAUCUUCGAUGCAAUGCAGUCUUGUUUAGGCUGCAGUGUUAUUCAACUUCAUCUUAACAAUGAAUAUGUAUUACUGAUGAUGAGUGAUGCAACUUAUUGAGUGUUUCGGGAUGUGAGACUUCAAUAUAGACUAAGUUUGCAGAUUUUGAGUUCCCCUAUUUUCUAGUUUGUGCUUGUUGUUCACUUGCUUUCUGAUGGGUUUCCUGGUUUGUGUGACUUGGGCUGAGUGUUAGAAAUUUUUGGCUCUGAGGUGUAUCCUUCUUUUUCUGUCUUCUCCCAUAUCCUUUUGGUGUUUGGUUUGUCUUUGGUUGCAUUUAACCCCGAUCUCUUUGUUUUGAUAUCUCUCUCUCUGCUUGUCUCUGCCUCUUUGUUACUUGGUAGGUUUAGGCCAUUGUUUUAUUAUACAUGGAAUGAGAGUUUCUCCCUUUUGUGUUAAGAGUUGUACUAAUUACUAAAUUAAAAAUCUCACACCAAUUAUGCACGGGAGCAUAUUGAGAGAAAUUCAAUCUAGGAUCUCACUUUUGUGUUAUGAUUUCAUGUUUUGCAUUCCUACCUCCCUUGCCAAUCCAAGGUUGUGUCCGAGGCUAUGAGUUUGACAACCUUGGUCUUAUAGUUAGUCCAGUUAAAGGUGAUUUUAGUAAGGAUCCUAUUAAAACCUGAUUUGGUAUGUAUAUAUGGAAUGAGAGCUUCUUCCUGUUUUUGGUAAGCUUGAUCUGUCAUUAUAUCUUAAUUCUUUGAAUUUUUUUCCCCUUUUGAUGAAUUAAUUUUUAUGCACUCGUUGGCUGCAUGGUAAUAAAAAUAAUAUUCUAGGUUGUAGCCUUGUAGGAUUCUAGAAUUCUACCUGUCACACCUCUCUUUUGGUAUCAUGAUUUCAUGUUUUGCAUUCCUACUUCCUUUGUGGCUAUGAGUUUGACAACCUUGGUUUGAUGUGAACAAAUCUGCUUGUCGUAUAAAAUACUUUAGUUAGUCCAGAUAAAGUUUGGAUGAUUCCGGCGAUUAUCCGUUUCAAGUCUGAUUUGCUAUGUGUGUAUGUUUGUCUAGAAAUGAUCCACAAUAUUAGAGUAACAAUAUAAAUGAAUAACAAGAACAUUAGUUUCCUUAGAUAAUCAAUGUGAUUGUUGAUCUUGUUCUUUAUUCACAUAGUUUUCCUUGUUUUCGGCACAACCCUGGUCAUCGGUGUAUCACACGUGACACGAGGACCUGGAUCGGUGGUUGGGCAGUUGUGGGAUUGGGUUGUAGCGUUUAGGUUUAAAUCCAGAUAUUACAAAGAAUGUUAAGAGUAUAUACUACUUACAUCAUAUUACUACUUAUAUUCUAAGCUAUUUAACUAAUUGGUGGUUUGCGACAAUAUGCUGUAAGUUAUUAGGGAUAAAAAAACACAUGAUGCAGCUGUAGUUCUUUCUGUGUCUGUCAAUCACAUUAUUUAUUUAUUCAUUAAGUUUGGUGUAGAAAUUUAAAUCAAUACUGUAGUGUAUAGAUCAUAAAUGUGGAGAAUAACAUAUUCAGAUGUUUGUAAAAUUGAAAUAAUAUGAUGCCUUGGAGUCUGGAAUGGCUUGAACAUGAAGCACAUUGAAUUCUGAAUUAUGCAGACCAGUUUCUGGCAUAUAGAAUAAUAGAAAUUUAGGACAAAUGCUUGUAACCACAUUAUAACUUUGGUAUGGGUAAAAUACUGUGUUUCAUUGAACUUGAACCUUUUUCCUUCUGUGGAUGUCCACCAAAAUAUAAAUGAGACAAGCAUAACCAAAGUUAUAUGCUUUACUGGUCCAUGAUUAUGUGGUGGAGAAUGUUCCUACCUUACCUUUUGCAAGUCUAUUUCAGAUCCAAUGCUCCAUUGAUUCAACAAUCAAGACUCUGUAUAGAAGAAUGGAUGACGAAGCUUUGCUAGAAAAUACUGAGAUAGUUAACUUAACUGUUUUGCUUAGGCUCUGUUUGGUAAAAUAAAGCUAUAAGCUAGCUUAUAGCUGAUAAGCUAGCUGAUAGCUGAAAAGCUAGCUUAUAGCUGAUAGCUGAAAAGCUAGCUGAUUGAAAUUAAAGUGUUNNNNNNNNNNNNNNNNNNNNNNAUUAAAGGUUAAAAAUGGAAAAAACUGUAAAAAGCUAUAAGCUAUAAGCUCAAACGCUACUUGAAAUAACAUCUCAAAAAAAGCUAUAAGCUCGUGAGAAAAGCUUUUUACCAAACACUUAUAUUUUUUUCAAACAAGCUUAUAAGCUAGUCCAAUAAGCUAUAAGCUAGCUUAUUGGACUUACCAAACACACCCUAAUUAGUUUGCUUAUCAAUCAUCCAACGGACCAAAAAUGGAAUACUUGCUAAUUUUACAUUUCUCUGUGAUAGGACCAGUUGGAUCUCUUACUCUCUGUUAUCAACACACAUCCUAAUUGGUUUUUUGCGUUUUUUGAUAUAUAUUUUUCACCAUGUAUAUUAAUCCCUGUCCUGUAUUGCUUCAACUUCUUGCAACAUAGUAGAGCACACAACAUCCAUGAUAGCUAAGGCCUUGCUUGUUUACUUGCAAAUUGCAAUUCAAGAACUUCUGAAGUUGCAAACUUAAA